rnacentral:snRNA from 1 species
GUAAUUGGCAGGGGAGAAUACCAUGAUCAUGAAGGUGGUUUUCCCCAGGACAAGGCUUUAUCCAUUGUAACUCCGGAUGUGCUGACACCUGCGACUUCCCCAAAUGUGGGAAACUAUAAUUUGUAGUAGUGGGAGACUGCAUUCGUGCUCUCCUCUCA